GGCCCACCAAAGCGACGAUCGGUAGCCGGGUUGAGAGACUGAACGGCCACAUUGGGACUGAGACACGGCCCAGACUCCUACGGGAGGCAGCAGUGGGGGAUAUUGCACAAUGGAGGAAACUCUGAUGCAGCAAUGCCGCGUGAGGGAAGACGGUCUUCGGAUUGUAAACCUCUGUCCUUGGUGAAGAUAAUGACGGUAGCCAAGGAGGAAGCUCCGGCUAACUACGUGCCAGCAGCCGCGGUAAUACGUAGGGAGCAAGCGUUGUCCGGAUUUACUGGGUGUAAAGGGUGCGUANGCGGCUCUUUAAGUCGGGCGUGAAAGCUGUGGGGCUUAACCCACAAAUUGCGUUCGAAACUGGAGGGCUUGAGUGAAGUAGAGGUANGCGGAAUUCCCGGUGUAGCGGUGAAAUGCGUAGAGAUCGGGAGGAACACCAGUGG
rnacentral:rRNA from 1 species